UACGUAGGGUGCAAGCGUUAAUCGGAAUUACUGGGCGUAAAGCGUGCGCAGGCGGUGAUGUAAGACAGGAUGUGAAAUCCCGGGCUCAACCUGGGAACUGCAUUUGUGACUGCAUCGCUGGAGUGCGGCAGAGGGGGAUGGAAUUCCGCGUGUAGCAGUGAAAUGCGUAGAUAUGCGGAGGAACACCGAUGCGAAGGCAAUCCCCUGGGCCUGCACUGACGCUCAUGCACGAAAGCGUGGG
rnacentral:rRNA from 1 species